GACGAACGCUGGCGGCGUGCUUAACACACGCAAGUCGAACGGAAAGGCCCUGCUUUUGUGGGGUGCUCGAGUGGCGAACGGGUGAGUAACACGUGAGUAACCUGCCCUUGACUUUGGGAUAACUUCAGGAAACUGGGGCUAAUACCGGAUAGGAGCUCCUGCUGCAUGGUGGGGGUUGGAAAGUUUCGGCGGUUGGGGAUGGACUCGCGGCUUAUCAGCUUGUUGGUGGGGUAGUGGCUUACCAAGGCUUUGACGGGUAGCCGGCCUGAGAGGGUGACCGGCCACAUUGGGACUAAGAUACGGCCCAGACUCCUACGGGAGGCAGCAGUGGGGAAUAUUGCACAAUGGGCGGAAGCCUGAUGCAGCAACGCCGCGUGCGGGAUGACGGCCUUCGGGUUGUAAACCGCUUUCGCCUGUGACGAAGCGUGAGUGACGGUAAUGGGUAAAGAAGCACCGGCUAACUACGUG
rnacentral:rRNA from 1 species